AGUCGAACGAUGACGGAGAGCUUGCUCUUCUGAUUAGUGGCGAACGGGUGAGUAACACGUGAGCAAUCUGCCCUUGACUCUGGGAUAAGCGUUGGAAACGACGUCUAAUACCGGAUACGACCUUGGAAGGCAUCUUCUGGGGUGGAAARAAUUUUGGUCAGGGAUGAGCUCGCGGCCUAUCAGCUAGUUGGUGAGGUAAUGGCUCACCAAGGCGACGACGGGUAGCCGGCCUGAGAGGGUGACCGGCCACACUGGGACUGAGACACGGCCCAGACUCCUACGGGAGGCAGCAGUGGGGAAUAUUGCACAAUGGGCGAAAGCCUGAUGCAGCAACGCCGCGUGAGGGACGACGGCCUUCGGGUUGUAAACCUCUUUUAGUAGGGAAGAAGGGAGCUUGCUCUUGACGGUACCUGCAGAAAAAGCACCGGCUAACUACGUGCCAGCAGCCGCGGUAAUACGUAGGGUGCAAGCGUUGUCCGGAAUUAUUGGGCGUAAAGAGCUCGUAGGCGGUUUGUCGCGUCUGCUGUGAAAACCCGAGGCUCAACCUCGGGCCUGCAGUGGGUACGGGCAGACUAGAGUGCGGUAGGGGAGAUUGGAAUUCCUGGUGUAGCGGUGGAAUGCGCAGAUAUCAGGAGGAACACCAAUGGCGAAGGCAGAUCUCUGGGCCGUAACUGACGCUGAGGAGCGAAAGCAUGGGGAGCGAACAGGAUUAGAUACCCUGGUAGUCCAUGCCGUAAACGUUGGGAACUAGAUGUGGGGACCAUUCCACGGUCUCCGUGUCGCAGCUAACGCAUUAAGUUCCCCGCCUGGGGAGUACGGCCGCAAGGCUAAAACUCAAAGGAAUUGACGGGGGCCCGCACAAGCGGCGGAGCAUGCGGAUUAAUUCGAUGCAACGCGAAGAACCUUACCA
rnacentral:rRNA from 1 species